GGGGAUUUAGCUCAGUGGCAGAGCUCCUGCUUAGCAGGGGCAAGGUCAUGAGUUCAAUCCCCA
rnacentral:tRNA from 1 species